rnacentral:sRNA from 1 species
ACUCUCACCCAGUAUAGUUCUCCAUUGAGCAAACUACCAAAGGGUACUCAUCUGAAACAGAAUCCAGUGAUCGACCAGCAUGGAUGAUCGUAGGUACGGCUACUCGUAUCCACCACCCCAAGGGUACUACAAUGGGCCGCCGGUGAUGGCGCCGCCGCAGUACGCGGCUCCGCCGCCGAGGCGGCCGGAGCCGAGCUUCCUCGAAGGAUGCCUUGCUGCUCUCUGCUGCUGCUGCCUCAUCGACGAGUGCUGCUGCGACCCAUCGGUCAUAUUUGUGACCUAAUUACGGUCACAGUGGCGUCUCGACUGGUUGACGAGGACGAACAGUCUGAGUUGAGAUAUACACUGUACACGUGCUUGCCUUUUGUUAAAUGUUGAUAAUUGUAUCGGUCUAUAGCUAGAUUACAGUACAAGUCCUCCGUUAAGUUCAGGUUCUUCAAGUAUCAGAUGCAUGCGUGAUCCACCUGCAGUGGAAAUAUUUAUAUUGCAUGCACUGGUUGCUCGAUUAACCAAAGGACGUAUACGUUUCUAUGUGUAUGUCUGCAUGAUCGACUAUAAAGAAUAAACGAAGGUAAAGUGAAGUU